CUCAUGGGGAUUUGAGCGAUCUCCCCACGAGGCGACAUGCCCAAGUAUCGCGUCCCCCGGUUUAUGUGAGGACGCAUCAUG
rfam:Bradyrhizobium sp. S23321 DNA, complete genome.